GAGUUUGAUCGUGGCUCAGGAUGAACGCUAGCGGCAGGCCUAACACAUGCAAGUCGAGGGGCAGCACGAAUGAUAGCAAUAUUAUUUGGUGGCGACCGGCGCACGGGUGCGUAACACGUAUGCAAUCUGCCUUGUACUGGGGCAUAACUCAGAGAAAUCUGAGCUAAUUCCCCAUAAUAUCAUUGGAAGGCAUCUUUCGAUGAUUAAAGAAUUUCGGUACAAGAUGAGCAUGCGCCCAAUUAGCUAGUUGGUGAGGUAAUGGCUCACCAAGGCUACGAUUGGUAGGGGUUCUGAGAGGAUGAUCCCCCACACUGGUACUGAGACACGGACCAGACUCCUACGGGAGGCAGCAGUGAGGAAUAUUGCGCAAUGGACGAAAGUCUGACGCAGCCAUGCCGCGUGAAGGAUUGAAGGCCCUAUGGGUUGUAAACUUCUUUUGUAUGGGAAUAAACCCCCGACGUGUCGGGGCUGAAGGUACCAUAAGAAUAAGCACCGGC
rnacentral:rRNA from 1 species